CGGACGGGUGAGUAACGCGUGGGUAACCUGCCUUGUACUGGGGGACGAACAGUUAGAAAUGACUGCUAAUACCGCAUAAGCGCACAGUAUCGCAUGAUACAGUGUGAAAAACUCCGGCGGUACAAGAUGGACCCGCGUCUGAUUAGCUAGUUGGUAAGGUAACGGCUUACCAAGGCGACGAUCGGUAGCCGGACUGAGAGGUUGAACGGCCACAUUGGGACUGAGACACGGCCCAA
rnacentral:rRNA from 1 species